rnacentral:sRNA from 1 species
UAUUCUGCCCCAUGGGGAAGGAUGAGAAGCUUCGACUAAGGUUCGACUCGAGCGAAGCGAGAGAACGUUGCCGCAGGCAACGGCCCGAAGGGCG